rnacentral:lncRNA from 1 species
GGAACACUUGUUGAUGUUGGACACGAUGGGGCUGAGCUUUUGGUUGAUAUGUAAGAUGAUUGUCUGGUUGGACAUGCUAUUUGACCUGCUGGUUGAGCAGGUAAGCUUAUCUCCAACUGAUGUUCUACCUCCUCUACUGGAUAUGCUCCUUUGAUUGCCCUCCCUUCCGUCCAGCUUCCUUGGUUUCAGUUUACCUACUCCUUAGUACUCCCAAGUUUCUUCUGGUAAUGUGGGUUCUUCUCCCUCUAGCCCCUCUGAUGACUAAUGGCUUAGGACCUUCCUCUUUCUAUAUUGUGCUUAUGUUUGUGCCUGCUUGGAAAUGAGAAUAUUGUCAUACUAAGUAGUAGCAAAUGAAGCACUAACCCUUAUUGUGCUUUAGGGUUUGGUAGAACCAGGGGUCCUACCGGACCUGCUCCGGAGGUUGUAGGGGAAGGAUGGAGUGGGACGGGGCGUUGAUCGGGCGCGCCGGCGGCUGGUCGCCGUCGCGUCGGAGGGAGAUGGCGGCGGCUAGGGUUCCGGCUCCUCUGGGAGCCGGGCAAUAGGGAUAAUAAUAUUCUUAUUGCUUAAUUCCAAAAAGAGUCUUAUAGCCUAUAUUUAUAACCUAGAUAACUUGCAUAAGAAUUAACCUAAGAUAAGUUGUGGGCCAAGCCCCUAACUACUGCCCGGUGGGCCUCCUCCGGUUAUAAGCUAAACCGGUCAUAACACUUCUCCCCGCCUGCACAAACAACUCGUCCUCGAGCUGUAAGGUGGGGAAGCGCUUGCUGAAAUCCUCGAGGUGAUCAACCAGCGUCAAACACCUUCUCGACAGCUGGGGCGGCCAGGUCGGCGGCGACGGCGUCCUCCGGAAUGUAGUCUGCAACCUCCAGGUAGAAGAGUCGCGGGCAGGCGUGGCCGGGCGUGUAGGGCUCGUCGCAGUUGAAGCACAACCCUUGGCGGCGACGCUCGAGUAGCUCGGCUGAGGUGAGCCGGCGGAACGGGCGCACCGCGGUCGCGGCAAGGGGUGCCGCGGAAGCCUACGUAGGCCGACCCUGCGCGGAAUCUGGCGAGGGUAGCGACCCAGUGGCCCGGGACAGUGAUUCCUGCUGGAUAGCCACCGCGCGGCGCUCGAACGCGCGGGCGUAGUACAUGGCCGUCUGGAGAUCCUGGGGUCCCCUAAGCUCCACGUCCACGCGGAUGUGAUCCGAAAGUCCACUGACGAAGAGGUGGGCCCGCUACUGCGCCAUCACGCCCGACGCAUGGCACGCCAGGGCCUGGAAACGGUCGGCGAAGUCCUGCACCGUGGAGGUGAAGGGAAGGUGGCCGAGCUCCGCCAGUCGGCUCCCGCGCACCGGAGGCCCAAAGCGAAGGAGGCAGAGCUCGCGGAAGCGCUCCCAAGGGGGCAUGGCACCCUCGUCCUGCUCAAGGACGUAAUACCAGGUCUGUGCCGCGCCGCGGAGGUGGUACGAGGCGAGCCAGGUACGCUCCGAUGCGAGGGUGCGCUGCCCGCGAAAGAACUAGUCGCACUGGUUGAGCCAGUCGAGGGGGUCCUCCGUGCCGUCAUAGGUAGCGAAGUCGAUCUUGGCGAACCGCGGCGGUGUCUGGGUCGGAGCGCCGUGUCGAGCUUGCUCAGAGGUGCGGAGCAGCGAGGCGGGUGGCGCCUGGUCGGAGUACUCCGAGUAGGGACCGGCAGAACCGGAUGGCCCACCGAACUGCGGGAACGGAGUCGGCUGUUCGGGGGCCGUGGUGUAGACCGGCGAUGGCGAAGACCCAGCCGCCCAUGCUGGAAGUGGCGACGGGGAGGGCGGGAACCGGACCUGAUGGAUCGGGAGGCCGGUCGGCGAGGGUGCCCCCGAGCUGGGCAGGGGCAGCGCCGGUGGUUGCAGCGGCAGCAGAGGGGGCUGGACGGGGGCAGCGGCUGCCAGGGACGGCAACGGCUGCAGGUGCCAGAGGGGCGCCGUCGAUGGUGGCGGCGGCAGAUGCCACAGGCCCGCGGCGGCUGGUGGUGGCCUGCUGGAGUUCCUCGUCUGGAACGGCAACAGCGGGGGCCCGCCGCCUGCGGGUGCGCCCGGGAACAGCCACGGCGCAGGGUGGCUGUAGGUGGCGAUCGGCGCAGCUGGCGGAAGGCCGUACGCUCCUGCCAUGUACUGGUGGUACUGGUUCAUGUGGAGCCCUUGGACGGCCGUCACGAGCUGCUGCAGCGUGCUGGUCAUCUGUUCCGGCGUGAAGACGGCGGCUGGUGGCGGCGCGGAAGUGAUGGGGGGCGGUGGUGGUGAGGAGCCCGCGGCGGUGACCGGGUCCGACAGUGUGGGGGCCCCGGCGGUGGUCAUCGGGGUGGACGUCAUCGGGGCGGUGGUCAUCGGUGCAGAGGUGACGACGGGCAGGGGCGGUGAUGGCGUCGAAGAAGACAUGAUCAAACCCAAGCCUCUGGAUACCAAAUUGGUAGAACCAGGGGUCCUACCGAACCUGCUCCGUAGGUUGUAGGGGAAGGAUGGAGUGGGACGGGGCGUUGAUCGGCGGCUUGGCGCCGUCGCGUCGGAGGGAGGUGGCGGCGGCGGCUAGGGUUAGAGGCGGCUAGGGUUCCGGCUCCUCUGGGAGCUAGGCAAUAGGGAUAAUAAUAUUCUUAUUGCUUAAUUCCAAAAAGAGUCUUACAACCUAUAUUUAUAACCUAGAUAACUUGCAUAAGAAUUAACCUAAGAUAGCUUGUGGGCCAAGCCCCUAACUACUGCCCGGUGGGCCUCCUCCGGUUAUAAGCUAAACCGGUCAUAACAGGGUUAUAUUUUUGUUUUUGUUUUACUUGUCGUGGCUGCCUUCUACAUUUUUUCCCCUGUGGUUAUGGGUCUAUCAAGUCCUAGUGUGAUUUGCAUGUUGUCCUGUCUACACAAGUAAAUAAGUAAGUGAUAGCGAACAAUACCCGCAUAUCUGGUUUCAGAUUUUCCUUUAUUUAUAUGGUUGUAUAGGUAUGCCAUUUUACAUUGCUGCUUAUUUUGGGUCAUUGUGAUACCUAGUGAAUUAAUGAUUGUUCAUUGCUGGAAGGCGGUUACUGUAGGCAGUUUUGUUAAAUCUUAUACUGCUAAUCAUCGUUUUGCUUCGAGUUAUUAUAGUAGUAUAGUUUUGGGCAAUUUUCAUAGUUUCAGGUGGUUUUAUUAAACAUUUUCUCAGCACGUCACUCAUUGUCCGCUAAACUUGCAUAUAUUUGUAAUUGAUCACUAGACACUUAAAUAAUUUGGUCGGUCCGACAUACAUUGGCCGUGCAUUAUCUGGAGUUAUGUUCUUCAGUUUUGGCCAUCAUGGAUGUUUAAUAGCACUUCAUAAUCAUGACUAGAUUCGUCACAUAAAACUGCUUCAUCCCUAAUAAGAUCUUUUUAGUUUCACUAGCAUAAUCUUUGGUGUAGUGUUGAAAUUAUUGCUUGAUGCUGUGAAGAGUACAAAGAAAAUGGCAGUCAUUUUGGAUCUAAGGAAAUUUCAGUUAAUAAGAUGAGACGCAUGAUCCCUUGCUCCGAUUUGUUAGUGUCUAGCUGGGUCCUGCAUUUCUAAAAAGUAUGCCUUUAGCUAGAAACCUGCCCCUUCUUUUCUACUCCAUAAGACCAUGAGCCCCUCAUAUGCCCAUUGUUCUUUUAGCUUCUAUUCAGAUCAAAUGUAGCAAAAAACUGCUAAAUUUGAGGUCGAAUGUGUGAUACUACGCUACAAAUUACGUAGUGUUUUCUUUUUCUUAUGUUGUUUUUUCCUAAUAACUCUGAGAUGAUUUAACUUCCACAAUGGUGAAGCUAAUGUUUUUUAUUCGAGUCAUACAGAAGUCAUGAGAAUAAUUCCCAACGGAUAGUCCUGAAUGAAUAGUAGAAAAUUGUUUGGUUGAUUAUAUUGCUUGCUCCACAGGUCUCUUUACAUAUUCUUGCGACUGAAACGCUGAAAGGGCUUGUUGGGUGUAGGUAUUUGCAUUUUGUGUGUUCAACCAAGGAGAUUGACCAUCUAUGUAGCAUAUGCACUGAUCAGCUGUGAAAUGGACUUGUAAGAAUUAAUCUCUUAAUUUGGUAACUCCUGUCUAUUAUCUGAUUCUUGUGGACAUUC